rnacentral:rRNA from 1 species
AACGAACGCUGGCGGCAUGCCUAACACAUGCAAGUCGAACGGGACCUUCGGGUCUAGUGGCGCACGGGUGCGUAACGCGUGGGAAUCUGCCCUUCGGUUGGGAAUAACUGAGAGAAAUUUCAGCUAAUACCUUAUAAUGUCUUCGGACCAAAGAUUUAUCGCCGAGGGAUGAGCCCGCGUAGGAUUAGGUAGUUGGUGGGGUAAUGGCCUACCAAGCCGACGAUCCUUAGCUGGUCUGAGAGGAUGAUCAGCCACACUGGGACUGAGACACGGCCCAGACUCCUACGGGAGGCAGCAGUGGGGAAUAUUGGACAAUGGGCGAAAGCCUGAUCCAGCAAUGCCGCGUGAGUGAUGAAGGCCUUAGGGUUGUAAAGCUCUUUUACCCGGGAUGAUAAUGACAGUACCGGGAGAAUAAGCUCCGGCUAACUCCGUG